ensembl:lncRNA
GCUCUUAGGCAAUUUGCAGCAAAUUUUAUUAGUGCAGAAAAACACAGUACAAGGGUGUACAAUACAGGGAUGUUUCAUGUGCAUUCUCACUGCAAACACCAUCUCUAUAUAAUAUAUGUAUAUAUACUAUACCUCCCACACCCCUGGUAGUUUGAAACGCCAAAACACAGAAUGGGGAAUAUUAGCAACAAAACAACAACAGAAAAUGUAUCUCAUCACAUGCGACCUCAAGUUGAAAUACUCCAAAUAAACCAAACAGAAGGGUAUAGGUACCGUAGGUAGGUAGGUAGUUAUAAACAUAAAUAAACCAAACAGAAGGGUAUAGGUACCGUAGGUAGGUAGGUAGUUAUCAACAUAAAUAAACCAAACAGAAGGGUAUAGGUACCGUAGGUAGGUAGGUAGUUAUAAACAUAAAUAAACCAACAGACAGAACUUAAACAUCAUCAAUAAAUAACACAUCAAUAAUAUAUUAAUUCAAUAAUUAAAUAUAGACAAUAUAAUGUUUUGAUUAAUCCUAACCACAAACAGAGAGUUUGCUUGGGGGAGUAAAUCUGAAAUGACACCCUAUUCCCUACAUAGUGCACUUCUUCCUGACCAUACUAUUCCCUACAUAGUGCACUUCUUCUGACCAUACUAUUCCCUUGAUAGUGCACCAUUUUAUUUUACCAUAUUAUUCCCUAGAUAGUGGACUACUUCAAACAUACUAAUCCCUAAAUAGUACACUAUGUACUGAAAUGCACUGUCUAGGGAACGGGGAGUCAUUUGAUACGCAGAUUCCUUGAAAUGAUUGGUGAAGUUUCACUUUAGGAUGGUCUCCUUACUAAACUGGGUUAGUCUACUAUUGCUUUAAGUCACUACAGAGUACACCGACAGUAAGGACAUAUAGGCAACUAGAAGAUGUGACUUACAGUCAUAUAGGGGUUGGAUGAACAGUCUUCGGUGAGAUAAGUAUGUAUGGGUCUAAUGUUAAAUCCAAGUUGUAUUUUUGUGUAUAUCCAAAAAUCUAUGUUACUAGCAUACUUCUACUGCUACCUCCUUAGUAUAUCGUAAGUAAGCUAUGUCCAAGCCAGAACAGCCCAUAGGGCAGGAGCAUAUCUCCUGUUUCUGUAGCAUGAGGCAGCUUCAUGUGCAAGUACACCCCCUAAACAGGACACUACUUGUGCUGCGCAGUAAUAUAUUGGCCAAGCAUACUUAAAACUAUGUUCACAGG